GCAUUGGGCGACACCAUGGGCACCGCCCCUCUUUUCCGGCACCGCAUUUGAAACGUUGGAAUAGAUGACUGUGGACGUCUGGACGAGGCUGAGGAGCAGAUCUGCUUUCAAGAGGUCAGCACGAGGAGCUGCCGAGCUGUCAGCUCUUAAACCUGGAGGGUUCUGAACACACUUAAGAUAUUUCCAAUAUGGAAGAUGAGGAGCUCCAAUCACACAUCCAGAGUGACCUCCAGCCUGCAGCUAUGGGUGCAGCCGAUUUGGAGGUUCUGAUGGCCAUGAAUAAUCACUGGAAAACCAGGAGCUUUGGGCUCCAACACUUCAGACCCCUGACCCCAUCCUCAGACUGCUCAGCGGAAGAGUCUGCGUCUCCAGAGUCCAAUGUUGUAAAGGAAUCCCCUUUGUAGAUUGCCUCUGCCGGCGAUGAUAUAGUGGCAGUGGCUGCAAUCUAGUCUUAUUGUGCAACAACAACAGUUCAUGAAAUGUGACAAAAGUAUUUUUGUCACCAUUAAAAUGUUAAAAUUGUUAUUCUGUGCCUUUGCUUCUUUUCUGGCCACAUUCAUAAAGGAGGCCCUCUCUGAAGUGUUAUGAAACUUGGGUUGUUGCAGGAAGAUGGAGGUGGAAAUAUGAAUGAGAGUUUGAAAGAGGAGUUUGAGUUUUACUGAGAGGAACUAUCAGAAUUUUUUUCUCAACACUACAAUAUUAAUGAAGGAUUUGACUUCGAUGGCCAUCCCUACUUGUUUGAGCUUGAGUUUACAGAUUAAGAAUUCGGACAAAUUGAGGAACGAAGGAGGAGAGAAACAAGCAGAAGAGAGAUGAGCUGCUGCAUGGUUGUGCGUGAAACUUCUAGAGCGAGAAAUGUAUUAAGCAGCCAGACUCUUAGCAAAGAUUGGACUGUCACAGUUGCCCAUAAGAUUACAUUGUAACCACUGCUGUCGAGUUGCAGCUGCCGGGGGAGGCAAUCUAUUAGACCAAUUCCAAACUUUUUGUAAGUACCCUUCAUUGACAAUCACAUUUUCAAACAUA